UUUAUGUACAUUUAAAAUAGGUUUUGUAUGACGAUUAUUUCAUCUCUCAUUUAGAAGAAAAGGUGUGGCAUAUUUAGUGAGUCGCGCCACCGCGAAUCAGUUCAGUUAGGAAUCAACCAAAUCAAGCAAGCGUUCGCGAAUCAGUUCAGUUCCGUUCAAAUCAACCGAAUGAAAAAACCGAAAGUGAAUCAGUUCAGAAAGGCGAUGUGAAAGCAGAGGUCCUACAAUCUCAUCUUUAACGGCAUAAAACAGUAAAUUAUCGACUCGUUCUGUAGCACCUUCACUUUGUGAACUGCAGAAGGGUAUAUGAUAAUCCGGAUUGACAGCGGAUGGGUUUUAAUAACGCUUAUAGACGGUGCCGAAGUCUCGCUCGUGACGAUCUUUGCAAGUGCGUCAAUGAAGAAAGUGAGUUUCACUCGACAGUACAUUAUAUUAUUAAUAUGAUUGUCAGUUACUUGUGUUUAAUUGAUAUACAACUGCUGCAUUGUUGAUGUAAUGUUUGAGUAUUUAAUUGUCCACAUUACUACCACCACAUGCAUAUUGUAUGGCUAUGACUCAGCACAUUAGUAGUGCUGCUGGUGUCCAUCAUACGAUGAUUCAAACUAUUACUGAUCACGUUAAUUUGUUCAUUAUAGAACCACAUGUGCAAGAGUCGUAUGAAGCAUCAUCAUAAUUAUUCAGCAACAUCCAGUACUGGCUGAAAUUUUUGCCCUUCUCAUCGCGGGAGGAUUCAUUGUGCACCAACGGCCCUGAGACUGUAGCUAAAGACCAGCUUCAUUCGACCUCCUGGUAUCUGAACGUGUAGAAAGGACCUUUUAUAAUAGUUUUCUUUACUAUUGAUUAGUAAGCAAUCAGCAUUAUUCUGUACAUCCUAUUGUGAACCUUUAUUUCAUUAUUAUUUGCGCAGGCCUACGCUUUUUUGAUGUAUGUUUUUGUUUCAUUUAAAUAAUAUUGUUAUUUGAGGAUUAAUAUAUUCUAUUUGAGUAAACACCUACAAUUUAGUACGUCUGUGUUUUUUCUUUCAUGGUUAUUGGACAUUAAUAGUGUUAAUAUACAUACUGAGACGAUUGGCACCGUAACAGUUACCAGCGCAACCCCGUUCUUCAUAACAUUUAUGGUCCUUCGAGCCGGAUGCACAACCGUCUCAGUAACGAUGUCCAAACCAGGAGAGAAAAUGUUAGAUAGUGACGUAGUUCGCCCACGUAGAAUUACUAGACCGCCUUCAUAUCUUCAAGAUUAUGAGUUUGGUUUAGCUCAGACACAGCAUACAUUCGCAAACGAGCAUGCUAGUGCAGUAAGAAAUACUGAUGUUAUCUCUUUCAUCCACGAAAUGAGAGAAGAGAGCAAGCAGCUGAGGCAAGAUGUGCAACGAAUUUCAGAAAUAAUCACUAAUUUACCUGUGUUAGAUACACCACAGGUUUCGCCAUCCUUACAGCGAUCUCCUGAUGCGGAGUUUGACAGAUCUGCUAUUCCAAUAGCCGCUAGGAGGAUGUCUCCCCCUCAUUAUGAGCAAAGUUCUGAUCAACCCGAACUGCCCCCACCAGUGCCUCCAAGAGAUGAGUCUCUGCAUGUGUAUAACGAUAGCCGACAAGACCUCAUUGAAGAUCUCAUACAUCGUCUAAAGGAAACAGGACGACUGAGUGGUGCUCCAAUACAUUCAGGUCAGGAAACACCUCAAUACGCGGAGCCCCCCAUGGUAGAGAGGAAACUUAUGUCACAUGCAAUCGAUCGUCAUAAUCAGUCUACUCCAUCUAAACGGCUAUAUGAUGAAUCUAACCCAUUACCCAAUCACUUUCGUCAACCCCCUCAAGAUCCAUGUCAUCCUCCUGCUGACCCAUAUAAAUAUAACUCGCAUUCAGAGUACCAGCCUGCCAGAAAUUUUUGUGAUCCACGUUAUGGGCAUUUAACUCAAACUUCCCACAAACCAGUCAUGUUUGAACAUUCUGGUCCUUAUUUUCAACGAGAACGGAGAAAUGAUCGCUAUCCUGAUAAUGAACGAUUCUAUGCAACUGAUAUGUCAUAUCCAACCUUGCACCAAGAGCCUAAUCAUCCUUACCAGCCUAUGUCAGUCCAGUAUCGUGGGCCUACACCCACCAUCCCAGAUUUUAUACAUGAUGAUCCGCGAGAGUUUAAUCGACUUAAACUUGCUUUAGAUAACGUUUUGCCUGAAGACGCAUCUGAAUCCUUCAAGUUUCAAAUACUCAUGGAUCAUUUGAAAUUAGAAGAUGCCUUGCUCAUUGCAGAUUCUUACAGUCAUGGUCCUUCUCCCUUUAGUGACACUAUGCGAGCACUUAUAGACAUGUAUGGGCAACCACACCAGCUGGCACUGCAGCGAAUAUCCAGUUUGAUGGAUGGGCCCAAUAUCAGAAGUGGAGAUGUCAGAGCCUUCAAAGGAUUUGCUCUUCGUGUUCGUGCUUUAAUAGGGAUGUUGAAUCAGUUGGGUAGUCCAGGAUGGACCGAGCUGAAAUGCGGUUCUCAUGUAUCACGCCUCUUAACAAAGUUGCCUUAUGAUCUGAGAGCCAACUUUAAGAGAUUUAUCAACCCACUGCAGACUCCCAUCCCUACACUGCUAGAUUUAGCCGACUGGCUUGAAUAUGAGGUACGUGUGCAGGUAGAGGGAACACGAUACACUACCUUCCUUGAUCGAGAGAAGUUUGGUCUACACAAGGAUAAGAGGCCAGGAUUUCCUGCUCGAAAGCCAACAACUAUCCUACAUGGGAGAGACCAGAAGGAAGUAUUAACAGGAAACUUAGGUACAGGGUCAGUACCUUCAGGAAAAACACAGGAGAAUCCCAAGAAGUAUUGUCCCUUUUGUGAUACCAUCAAUCAUUAUAUGAAUCAGUGCUCAAACUUUAAGCUCCUGACUAAACAACAGGUCGAGAAUUGGAUUAAAAUGGGUCACCGAUGCUGGAGAUGUGGCCGAAGUCAUCCAACCUCAAAGUGUACUCUAAAGGCGAAAUGUAAACAAUGCGAAAGGAGACAUCUUGAAGUGCUGCAUGAUGUUAAUACCAACUCUGCUCCAAGCAGGACAUGCAACAUCAGAGAGUCAGAUAGUAGCACAGAUCCAGUAAGUUCUACUUCUCAGACCUUGUAUCUGGACCGACCCACAAGCGGAAAGCAAGUGCUACUUAAAUUGAGUCGGGUUGUGAUUCGUAAUGGGGACAGGUCACUAGAGACCUAUGCGGUGCUGGAUGAUGGAUCAGAGCGAACGAUUCUAUUGCAUGAGGCUGCUCAGCGUUUAGGCCUUCAAGGAACAAUUGAGGACUUAGCGCUUCGUACAGUGAGACAGGAGGUACACACCAUUCGUGGAAAUUCAGUGUCCUUCACAAUCGCUCCUGCUUCACAACCUGACAGAUCAUUUCAAGUUUUUGGAGCCUUUACUGCGAAAGGGUUGGGGUUAGUCAAACAUACUUAUCCCAUCACUGAAUUGCAGCAGAAACAUGGCUAUCUCAGAGAUCUGCCUCUACAUGCUAUCAAUCAGGCACAGCCAUUAGUGCUUAUUGGUUCUGACUACCCACAUCUGAUAACACCUGUGGAACCUGUGAUAUUGGGGUCUAAAGGAGGACCGGCAGCAGUACAUACGAGACUUGGAUGGACAUUGCAAGGUCCAUCAAGGAUCCUUUGUUCUCAGCUCCAACCACAGGAAUGUUUCUUUGUUUCUUGUGCAAAACCAGACUCAGAACUAUUCAACCAAGUGGAGAACUUGUGGAAACUGGAUAUUCUGCCCUAUCGCUCUGAUAAGGUUGUGACACGCUCACGUCAAGAUGCUGAGGCCAUUCGGAUUCUGGAAGAAAAAACAGUCAGAAUUAAUGUGGAGGGAGUCAAAAGAUACGCAACCCCACUACUCUGGAAAGAGUCACUCCCACCAUUGAAUGCACCCAAAGAAGCUGUUCUACCUCUGCUACGUAGUGCAGAAAAACGACUGUCUAAAGAGCCCAAACUGACCGAUAUCUAUAAUGCUGAAAUCCAAAAGUUACAGCAAGCAGGAUACAUCACUUUACCGACAACAAAGGAGUGUAGUUCGAGCUCUCCUUCAUGGUAUAUACCUCAUCAUAUCGUCCAUCACAAUGGAAAGAACCGCAUAGUAUUUAACUGCUCCUUUGAAUACCAAGGUCAAUCACUGAAUGAGAACCUGCUGCCUGGGCCUACUCUUGGGGCAAGUUUGUUGGGAGUAUUACUUCGCUUCCGGGAGCAUCCAGUUGCUGUUUGUAGUGAUGUGAGAGGCAUGUUUCAUCAAGUUCGCCUCCUUGAUGAAGACAAACCCUUUCUCAAAUUCCUAUGGCGUGAUGGCAAUACGUCUGAGCCUCCAACCAUCUAUCAAUGGGCAGUCUUACCUUUCGGAACCACCUGCAGUCCCUGCUGUGCUGUUUUCGCCCUUCAGACACAUGUAGGAAUCCUUGAGUCCACAGAUGAUGUGCGGCAAACUGUUGAACGUAAUUUCUACGUAGACAACUGUCUUAAAAGCAUCUCAGAUGUGGAACAGGCCAGGCAGCUAGUAAACAGAUUACAAAAUCACCUAUCGGAGGGUGGUUUCGAGUUGCGACAAUGGGCCAGUAAUGAUCAUACGGUCAUUGACCAUUUUCCAUCUGAGCUGAAGUCAAAGGGCAGCGAGAUUUGGCUCAGCCAAGGUACAACAAACCCUCUGGAACGAACCCUUGGACUGAUAUGGAACUGCCAUUCUGAUACCUUAGCAUACAAACCAUUCCAAGAGGAUAAAGGAGAAAUCACCAUGCGCAAGAUUUACCGCACACUUGCAAAGCAGUACGACCCCUUAGGGUAUCUGAUUCCCUUCACAACAAGGGCAAAGAUCAUUGUACAAUUGCUCUGGAACAAGAAAAGAGGCUGGGAUGACCCCUGCCUGCCAGCUGAUCUGCUAGCCGCAUGGGAAGAAUGGGAAAAUGAGCUUCCCCAUUUAGCUCAGAUCACCUUACCACGGUGCUACAGUGGUAUUGUUCAGCAGCCAAUCAAACAUCGCAGUGUUCACAUUUUCUGCGAUGCUUCAGAGAGAGCCUAUGGCUCAGUAGCAUACUUGAGUACUGAAGAUGAUCAGCACAACACACAGAUAGCUUUCCUAGCAGCAAGAUCCAGAGUGGCUCCGAAGAGACAAAUCUCCAUUGCACGCUUAGAGCUAUGUGGGGCUCUGACGGGAGCACAGCUAGGUGCAGUCUUGAAGAAAGAACUGACGCUAGAGAUCCACCACUUUGUAUAUUGGACUGACUCUACCACAGUUCUAGCUUGGCUGCAGUCUGAUUCUUGCAGGUACAAGGUGUUUGUGGGAGUCAGAGUUAGCGAAAUACAAGAGUUGUCUGACCCAGGAUCCUGGCAUUAUGUCGAUUCAUCGACUAAUCCUGCUGAUGAUAUUACUCGUGGUCUGACGUUGACACAAUUGACCCAAGACAAUCGCUGGAGGCAAGGUCCAGCCUUCUUGACACAACCAAAAUGUAACUGGCCAAAAGUUCCUGAACGUCAAAACCCUGAUGAAGACUCUGAGGUUAGGAAACUCACCUUCUGUGGGACACUUAAUGAAACACCAGUUAUUUCAGAUGUUCAGCAAUUCAGUAGUUAUCAAGAGUUACUAGACAACACAGUGAAAUCCCUUCAUGGGGCGGCUGAAAAGGGACAACCACCAAAUGCAGAUGACUAUCAUGAAGCAGAACUGACUCUCCUGAGACAUUGUCAGAUGCAUGAUUUCCCAAAGGAGUUUGCAUUGCUCAAGGAAGGAAAGCCUGUACCAAACAGUAGUCAAUUAUCAGGACUUGCACCUGAAUAUGACCAAGACUCCAAUCUGAUCAGAGUGGGUGGCAGACUUAGAAGAUGUGAGAGCCUCACCAAAGAUAUUUUACAUCCUGUCGUUUUAAAUCCCACUAAUCCAGUAGUUACUCUUAUUAUUAAGCAUUAUGAUGCACAAUUACUCCAUUCAGGACCUGGAAGAGUGUAUGCUGAGCUACGACGGAAAUUUUGGAUCCUAAGAGGGAGAGAGGCAGUGAAAAAGCAUCAGCGCUGCUGCCCAGAAUGCCAAAAGUGGAGAGGCCGACCAGUUAUUCCGAAGAUGUCAGAUAUUCCACCUUCCAGUCUUAGGUUGUUUAAACCUCCCUUUUACUCCACUGGGGUUGAUUGUUUUGGCCCACUUAUGAUAAAGGUAGGCCGACGAACAGAGAAGAGGUGGGGUAUAGUGUAUAAGUGCCUUACCACUAGAGCAGUCAGUCUUGACCUUCUGGACCAUAUGGACACUGAUUCAUUUCUGUUGUCUCUCAGACGCUUUACUGCACGUCGGGGAAGACCUUAUGAGCUUUUAUCCGACCAAGGAACUAAUUUCCGAGGAGGAAAUACGGAAUUGGAGGAAGCUUUCAAGGAGAUGCAACCACUACUGAGAGACCAACUGGCUAAAGAACAAAUCAGAUUUCGCUUUAAUCCUCCCAGUGCACCACACUUUGGUGGAUCUUGGGAGAGAGAAGUGCGGUCUGUGAAGACAGCACUGCGGACCACCUUGGGUGCUCAAAUAGUCACUGAAGAAGUCUUGAGGACUGUCUUAGUGGAGAUCGAAGGUAUCUUAAAUUCGAGACCACUCGGUUACGUGUCUAGUGAUGUCGCGGAUCCAGACCCUGUGACGCCAAAUUCAUUGCUCAUGGGGCGGCCUGACUCCUCCCUACCUCAGGUAGUCUAUCCUGAGUCGGAUCUGCUCAGUCGAAAGAGAUGGAGGCACAGCCAAAUUCUCAGUGACCACUUUUGGAAACAUUUUGUGCAUGACUUCCUGCCUACAUUACAAGCGCGUCAGAAGUGGAAACAAGAAAGAGAUAACAUCACAGUUGGAACUGUAGUCCUCAUAGCUGACGAGCAAUUACCCAGAGCACUUUGGCGUGUUGGUACUGUUUCAUCAAUCAUUCCUAGUCCUGAUGGUAGAGUUAGAACAGCUGUCAUUAAGGUGAAGGAACACACCUACACUCGACCAGUUGCCAAAUUAAUCAGACUACCCGCUUUACCACAAGAUACAGAUGUCAUACAGUAAAUAUGCUGUUAGCAAAUUUGACUACCAAAUUUGGGGGCGGCUGUAAAAAAGCCAUUGCUCAGUUUAUGUACAUUUAAAAUAGGUUUUGUAUGACGAUUAUUUCAUCUCUCAUUUAGAAGAAAAGGUGUGGCAUAUUUAGUGAGUCGCGCCACCGCGAAUCAGUUCAGUUAGGAAUCAACCAAAUCAAGCAAGCGUUCGCGAAUCAGUUCAGUUCCGUUCAAAUCAACCGAAUGAAAAAACCGAAAGUGAAUCAGUUCAGAAAGGCGAUGUGAAAGCAGAGGUCCUACAAUCUCAUCUUUAACGGCAUAAAACAGUAAAUUAUCGACUCGUUCUGUAGCACCUUCACUUUGUGAACUGCAGAAGGGUAUAUGAUAAUCCGGAUUGACAGCGGAUGGGUUUUAAUAACGCUUAUAGACGGUGCCGAAGUCUCGCUCGUGACGAUCUUUGCAAGUGCGUCAAUGAAGAAAAACCACAUGUGCAAGAGUCGUAUGAAGCAUCAUCAUAAUUAUUCAGCAACAUCCAGUACUGGCUGAAAUUUUUGCCCUUCUCAUCGCGGGAGGAUUCAUUGUGCACCAACGGCCCUGAGACUGUAGCUAAAGACCAGCUUCAUUCGACCUCCUGGUAUCUGAACGUGUAGAAAGGACCUUUUAUAAUAGUUUUCUUUACUAUUGAUUAGUAAGCAAUCAGCAUUAUUCUGUACAUCCUAUUGUGAACCUUUAUUUCAUUAUUAUUUGCGCAGGCCUACGCUUUUUUGAUGUAUGUUUUUGUUUCAUUUAAAUAAUAUUGUUAUUUGAGGAUUAAUAUAUUCUAUUUGAGUAAACACCUACAAUUUAGUACGUCUGUGUUUUUUCUUUCAUGGUUAUUGGACAUUAAUAGUGUUAAUAUACAUACUGAGACGAUUGGCACCGUAACAGUUACCAGCGCAACCCCGUUCUUC